UGGGGAAUUUUGCGCAAUGGACGAGAGUCUGACGCAGCAACGCCGCGUGGGUGAUGAAGGUCUUCGGACUGUAAAACCCUGUCGUCAGGGACGAAGGUGUAGGGGUUAAUAGCCCUUGCGCUUGACGGUACCUGGAGAGGAAGCCCCGGCUAACUCUGUGCCAGCAGCCGCGGUAAUACAGAGGGGGCAAGCGUUAUUCGGAAUUAUUGGGCGUAAAGGGCGCGUAGGCGGUUUUUUAAGUCAGAUGUGUAAUCCCCGGGCUCAACCUGGGAACUGCAUCUGAGACUGGAAGGCUAGAGUACUGGAGAGGGUGGUGGAAUUCCUCGUGUAGCGGUGAAAUGCGUAGAGAUGAGGAGGAACACCAGUGGCGAAGGCGGCCACCUGGACAGUAACUGACGCU
rnacentral:rRNA from 1 species